AACGAACGCUGGCGGCGUGUCUUAAGCAUGCAAGUCGAGCGGCAAGGGUAGCAAUACCCCUAGAGCGGCGGACUGGUGAGUAACGCGUGGGUGAUCUGCCUUUGGGAUGGGGAUAGCCAUUAGAAAUAGUGGGUAAUACCGAAUACGCUUGCAGGACUGCGGUCUUGCAAGGAAAGGCGCUACGGCGCCACCCGAAGAUGAGCCUGCGUCAGAUUAGCUAGUUGGUGAGGUAACGGCCCACCAAGGCGAUGAUCUGUAGGCGGCCUGAGAGGGUGUACGCCCACAUUGGGACUGAGAUACGGCCCAAACUCCUACGGGUGGCUG
rnacentral:rRNA from 1 species